rnacentral:rRNA from 1 species
UCGCACGAGAGAGGGGAGCAAUCCCUGAGUAAAGUGGCGUACGGGUGAGUAACACGUGGAUCAUCUACCUUUUAGUGGGGAAUACCCCCGGGAAACUGGGGACAAUACCGCAUAAGCUCGUGAGAGGAAAGCAGCAAUGCGCUGAAAGAGGAGUCCGCGGCUGAUUAGCUAGUUGGUGAGGUAACGGCCCACCAAGGCGAAGAUCGGUAGCCGGCCUGAGAGGGCACACGGCCACACUGGCACUGAAAUACGGGCCAGACUCCUACGGGAGGCAGCAGUGGGGAAUCUUGCACAAUGGAGGAAACUCUGAUGCAGCGACGCCGCGUGAACGAUGAAGCCCUUCGGGGUGUAAAGUUCUUUCGACGGGAACGAUAAUGACGGUACCCGAAGAAGAAGCUGCGGCUAACUACGUGCCAGCAGCCGCGGUAAUACGUAGGCAGCAAGCGUUGUUCGGAAUUACUGGGCGUAAAGAGUGCGUAGGCGGUGCUCUAAGUCUGUUGUGAAAUCUCCCGGCUUAACUGGGAGGGUGCAGCGGAAACUGGAGUGCUUGAGGGUGGGAGAGGUAAGCGGAAUUCCUGGUGUAGCGGUGAAAUGCGUAGAUAUCAGGAGGAACACCUGUGGUGUAGACAGCUUACUGGACCACUUCUGACGCUGAGGCACGAAAGCGUGGGUAGCAAACAGGAUUAGAUACCCUGGUAGUCCACGCCCUAAACGAUGCAUACUUGGUGUGAGCCAUU